GAUGAAGAACGUAGUGAAAUGCGAUAAGUAAUGUGAAUUGCAGAAUUCAGUGAAUCAUCGAAUCUUUGAACGCACAUUGCGCCCGCCAGUAUUCUGGCGGGCAUGCCUGUUCGAGCGUCAUUUCAACCCUCAAGCCCCCGGGCUUGGUGUUGGGGAUCGGCGUGCCCUCGCGGCGCGCCGUCCCCUAAAUCUAGUGGCGGUCUCGCUGUAGCUUCCUCUGCGUAGUAGCAACACUCGCACUGGAUCGCAGCGCGGCCACGCCGUUAAACCCCCCACUUCUGAAAGUUGACCUCGGAUCAGGUAGGAAUACCCGCUGAACUUAAGCAUAUCAAUAAGCGGAGGA
rnacentral:misc_RNA from 1 species